UCCUACGGGAGGCAGCAGUGGGGAAUUUUGGACAAUGGGCGAAAGCCUGAUCCAGCAAUGCCGCGUGUGUGAAGAAGGCCUUCGGGUUGUAAAGCACUUUUGUCCGGAAAGAAAUCCUUGGCUUUAAUACAGUCGGGGGAUGACGGUACCGGAAGAAUAAGCACCGGCUAACUACGUGCCAGCAGCCGCGGUAAUACGUAGGGUGCGAGCGUUAAUCGGAAUUACUGGGCGUAAAGCGUGCGCAGGCGGUUUGCUAAGACCGAUGUGAAAUCCCCGGGCUCAACCUGGGAACUGCAUUGGUGACUGGCAGGCUAGAGUAUGGCAGAGGGGGGUAGAAUUCCACGUGUAGCAGUGAAAUGCGUAGAGAUGUGGAGGAAUACCGAUGGCGAAGGCAGCCCCCUGGGCCAAUACUGACGCUCAUGCACG
rnacentral:rRNA from 1 species